AGUGAACGCUGGCGGUAGGCCUAACACAUGCAAGUCGAACGGCAGCACAGAGGAGCUUGCUCCUUGGGUGGCGAGUGGCGGACGGGUGAGGAAUACAUCGGAAUCUACUCUGUCGUGGGGGAUAACGUAGGGAAACUUACGACAAUACCGCAUACGACCUACGGGUGAAAGCAGGGGAUCUUCGGACCUUGCGCGAUUGAAUGAGGCUAUGUCGGAUGAGCUAGUUGGCGGGGUAAAGGGCCACCAAGGCGACGAUCCGUAGCUGGUCUGAGAGGAUGAUCAGCCACACUGGAACUGAGACACGGUCCAGACUCCUACGGGAGGCAGCAGUGGGGAAUAUUGGACAAUGGGCGCAAGCCUGAUCCAGCCAUACCGCGUGGGUGAAGAAGGCCUUCGGGUUGUAAAGCCCUUUUGUUGGGAAAGAAAUCCAUCUGGUUAAUACCCGGAUGGGAUGACGGUACCCAAAGAAUAAGCACCGGCUAACUUCGUGCCAGCCGCCGCAGUAA
rnacentral:rRNA from 1 species